UUAGCAUGGGUGCCAAACUGCUUGAGAAGGAUGGAGAGACGACAGUAGAAGGGAUGAGGCUAGACCAAAGACGAGGGAAAACUUGUAGAGUUAUGGAAACCCAUUCAGACAUAGAAGUCCACAGAGCAGUUGUCAUCUGGCAAGGGAGAGGUUUCUGGGGACCAAGGGAGACUAAAGAGGUUCCUGCUGGGUAGGGAAGACUGCGUAGGGAGUGGGAAGGCAGGUAGCUUCUGGGUUUCUGGGACAGUAUUAGACUAUGUGGCAUGGGAAAGGCUCAAUGUCCACCUUCAGGUCUCCGGACUUUGGAGCAGAAGCAGAGGACUGAUCUGUCAUUUUGGGACUGAGUUGGCUGAAGAGACCCAAGGUCCACUGUGAGCCUGUUGAUGAAGCUUCCAGGCUUUGGGGUGUGAAAGUCAUCUCUGAGAGGUCAAAGCAUUGCUCCUGUUGGCCUCUUCAGAGGCUAUGGAAAUAGAUUCAGAGACUGGGGUGGAGGAGACACAGCUUCUUCCUUGGGAAAAACAGAAACAAACAGAAACCAACCAACAGCCCCACUAAACACAAUUCUUAAUUGACCCUUGGGGGCAUUUUUACAUUUGACCAAAACAAGACCCCCAAGCAGUAACACAGAAUUCCUUAUAGGGACUAGAGGGAGAGGGAGAGAGAGGGAGAGAGAAAGAGAGGGAGAGAGAGAGAGAGAGGGAGAGAGAAAGAGAGGGAGAGAGAGAGAGAGAGUUGAGAGUGAUGGGAAGACCAAGAGAGGUGGCUGGAAUGGUAGAGAAGGUGAGAUACUUGCUUCUCACAAUUGCUGUCAUGCAGAGAGAGAGAGAGAGAGAGAGAGAGAGAGAGAGAGAGAGAGAGAGAAUAAAAUUUCAGGACAGAAAGAGAAGGGCAAAUAAAAGGCAAAUAGAAACCAGAAAGAAAAGAAAGUGAAGAAGAAAGAAAAAGGCAGGGAGGUGGAGAGAGACUAUAAUAAAAGAGGGUGAAGGUGGCCCCAGGAGGCUGGGCCUCGUCCCAAACCAUCCGUCUUCAUUGUCUCCAUGUGUGCAAAGGCAACUCCAGCAUAAGGAAAAGCCACUAUUGGAGCCGCGGCUUUAUUUUAUAUCCUAUACAUCAGGAGGGAGGCAAAGCUUUAUUUUCGCCAAGAGACAGAUAUUUUAUUUCUCUCUUACGGUUUUAUGUGUGAGAGAUGUCAGGUUGCCACAAUGGAUAGCUAAUGCAUAGGCAAGAGGAAGCCGUGUUGGCAUGCUGUGUGUCAUGGGGUCUUGAGGGGGGGUGAGCGGGCCUGGGAUUUAGGGCUGAUGGGACACUCUGGGGGAUUUCUGCUAAAACAUCUCUCUUCAUAAAUCCACAGGCAUGGUCAGCUCAACAGGGAGAAGAAGGAGUUUUAGAGGGAAAAGAGUUGGGCUUAGUAAUAAACGAACACACAAAGGAACCGCUUACCUUCCAAGCGGCGUGGGCAAUGGGGCAGGCAGGGGUUCCACUGACAGUCAAAGGGAGACUUGUUUUAGGAGGCAGAUGAAGAGGUGAGAAGUGAUGACUUAGCAACCUAGAACCUAGAAAUGGCGUCUCGCACAUUUAUAAAUACAUCUGUAAAUAGACCAGGCAUCUAAGGACCCACCAGGUCUUAUCUUUAAAUUAAGAGCCACAAGAAGCAGAGGAAGACCGAACACACUUGCCACUCACUGGGAGAUGUGUUCCUGGCAGAACUGUGUCUGUGUGACUUUACAUGUCCCCUUCUUCAGAAAGAUGUUUUAUAAACCUUUUCAGAGCCUUGGAGGGAAAGAGCCAUUAAUUUGCAAAUUAUCUGAUCCGUACAAGGAUCAAGGUGCGUGUUUUCCGAUGCCACCUCUCAUGUCUUGUGUGGAUACACACAUGCACACACAAACUCAUUAUGCUGUGAACCCUCCGGUGUAGCUGCCAGGGAAAGCUCCUUUCUGCCCACCUGCCCCACAUUAAUCCCCAAGCCUCAAAAUGUGUAAUGUUGACAUCUUUAAACCCCAGGAGAUGGGGUGGAGGGUUGCAUAGAAAGAUAGUGGUGGUGUAGGAGAGUCUUUGAAUUAACAUGUCUAUUCUGGAACAGGGCUCACCAGCUUCUCUCCUUGUGAGCCUCACCCUUUAUUUUUUCAGAGGCCAUUGCUUAGAGUAACUUGAAUUCAUUUUUGUGUGUUGCUAAUUAUUUGAUGUGUUGGUUUAUAACUAUCGUGAAGCAAAAAGUUAUGUUCUUCGUCCCAUUUCAGAGGAUCUUAGACAGCACAAGGGUUCUAGAAAGUGAGCCUUGCUACCUGACCACACUGUCCCGCAGCCGUUGAAGAAGUUAGUUGGGCCUCAGUUUCCCCACCUGUAUGCAGGGAUUUGGGACUGAUUGCUGAGGUCCUUUCCGGCUCUGACUUCCUCUGACCGAAUGAGAUAAUGUGUGAAAAUACUUUGUAAGCGCUAAAGCCGAGAACGACUGUCAGAUAUUAUAUUAUUCCGAUUCUAAUCAAUCCUCUUUUCUCCACACGGAUCUUGGCCGUUUAGCGUCAGCAAGCUGGCUAAAGAGGGCCCAAGCGAGAAAGCUUAGCCGUGAUGGGAAGGCUCUGCUGGGGAUAGAAAGUCCCUGCAUCUCCAGAAAUAUUCUGUCUGUGCUCUGGAAAGCUCCAUGGGUAAUGGUGUGUCAAAGGGGGAGCAGCAAGAUGCACCAGGACCCAUUUCAGCCUGUGCAGAGGGUGUGUUUCUUCAAAAGCAGUAUUUGUUUUCCGAGUGACUGACACCGGAAGGCGAUUUGCAUUUUGUGUUUUCCCAGGGAGAAUGGAGAGAGCAAGGUGUAGCUGAUUAGCAAGUUAAUUAUUUCAGUACCCCAAGGGUUCAUGCGUGGUGGUAAGUUGUCCAGCUCUGGUGUAAUUUCACAGUCUGUGCAUUUCUUGGUGAGCACCUGGGGUGCCUGAGUCUGUCUCUUUCUCCAUCCACCUGCCUUGUAUCUUCCCGACACACCUGGAGAAAGGGGCAGGGUCUGUGGUGGUGGUCCUUGUUAUGUAGGUUGAGGUUGGACAGAACUUCUGAGAUGCCCUCUACCUUCAAAGAAUGCUCAGUUCCUUAUCGCUUUCUUCUUCACUAAAAUAUCUUGUUUAAUAAAUGUUAAUGAGGUGGUUAUCAGUAAGUGGGGUGGCUGUGAGGUGACACCCCAGAUUCAGUCUGGAGAUAAACUAUGAUGGAGGAGCCCAUGCUUGGCAUCUCCUCCUUCUGGCUCAGCUCUCUGAGCUCCAAGCUCCGUUUGAUUUCUCACCUCUGGCCACCACCUGUUCAGCAGCAGCUUCCUCCAGCCUGACCUCCCCUUAGGGAGGGGAGGGAGGAUUGUGUGGUCAAAGGAAUGGAUACCUACCCCCAGAGAGAUAAGUUGGAGAUGUGAGCAAGAGGGGCAGAAUUAACAGCUUUAGGCCUCUGCUUCUAGGCCAGCUUCCUGCUCCCAGGAUGGGAGGGCCAGCCCCCUGCCUCUCCUUUUGAGCCAGGCAAAGGGAGGGCUCUCCAGUUUACUUAAGAGUGGUCCCAUCUGCUCAAACUGGCCUUUCAUAAGGGGAGGGAUUUAUGCAGUGUCCUUGUGCUUAGACCUGGGAUUUGGCUGAAAACCUUAGGCCUUUGAGAAUAUUAUCUAAUGCGGGGAUGCUCGGUCAUAGAGAUGAUUCAUCAUUUUGUCUUUGUGGAGUGUGUGUGUGUGUCUGUCUGUCUGUCUGAGUCUAUGUCUUUAUGUCUCUCUGUGUCUUUGUGUAUCUGUGUGUCUGUCUGUGUGUAUUUGUGUCAGUGUAUGUGUAUGUCUAUGCAUAUUACUUUGUGCUGUUCACACUUUGAAUCCAAAUAUUAGGGAGACUUAUUUACUUCCGUUUCUUCUUUUCUAUACUGUCUCAGGAGAUGGCCUUGGGAGAGCAACCUCCGGACCUCAGCAGUGUGAGGAUGACAACAGUACCCUGUGGUGCUGUCCCCACUCAGGUUGGCUGCCAUCCCUGCUGAUGGAGAGAGGCUGAAGUCUGUCUGAGAAGAUAGUGCAGGCAGCUACUUAGCUGGUACUAAUUGUAUUUGCAGAGUAGGGGGUUUCUCUCUGUAGCCCCGACU
rnacentral:lncRNA from 1 species